rnacentral:rRNA from 1 species
UACAGAGGGGGCAAGCGUUGUUCGGAAUUACUGGGCGUAAAGGGCGCGUAGGCGGCCUGUUAAGUCGAACGUGAAAUCCCCUGGCUCAACCCGGGAACUGCGUCCGAUACUGGCAGGCUUGAAUCCGGGAGAGGGAUGCGGAAUUCCAGGUGUAGCGGUGAAAUGCGUAGAUAUCUGGAGGAACACCGGUGGCGAAGGCGGCAUCCUGGACCGGCAUUGACGCUGAGGCGCGAAAGCCAGGGGAGCAAACGGG